UGGGGGAUGACUGCCUUCGGGUUGUAAACUCCUUUCGUUAGGGACAAGCCACACCUUUUUGGGUGUGGUGACGGUACCUUUGUUAAGAAGCACCGGACUAACUACGUGCCGCGCCGCGGUAAUCGUGGGUGCGAGCUGUCCGGAAUUACUGGGCUAAAGAGCUCUAGGUGGUUUGUUGCGUCGUCUGUGAAAUUCCGGGGCUUAACUUCGGGGUGGCAGGCGAUACGGGCAUAACUAGAGUGCUGUAGGGGAGACUGGAAUUCCUGGUGUAGACGGUGGAAUGCGCAGAUAUCAGGAGGAACACCGAUGGCGAAGGCGGUCUCUGGGUCGUAACUGACGCUGAGGAGCGAAAGCCAUGGGGGA
rnacentral:rRNA from 1 species